UGGUCAUGAAGGGAGAUAUUUUUGGUCCCCUAGAAAUUUAAUUCUUUUCUUUUUUUUCUUACAUCAUAUUUCUACAUCUCGAACAUUCAUGAAUCUUCAGAAAGCUAGAAAUCCUAAUGCAUAGACAUCUAGUGAUAGUCUGGGUACAUCUAUAGUCGUACGCAUGCAUCUGGUUUUGAGAGAGACUUCUCCUGAAUGGUCAAAAUUAAAGAGAACAUAUUAAUAGUAUCAUUGUAGGAUCAAAAAUUGUAUUCCUCAGGUUGUAUGUUUGUGUGCGCGUGCGCGCUCGUGUGUGUGUGUUCUUUUCUUGUUUUUGGGGUGGGGUACAAUGCAGACAUGCAUGUUGACUUAGUUCUGUAUUUUACUGUGUAUUUGCAUAAACUGAAGAAAUAAGCCAAUGAAAAGGGUGUGAGAUAUUGCCAGUUUUUGGAUGUCUAAAGCAGUGAGCAUCUAAUCAAGGUUGUAGAUUGGUUACAUCUAAUUGACAAGAUUGUAGCGGUGGUGAUACCUUACCUCUUCAUUAGGACAUAGUCUACUGGUAAUUUGUUUAUUGCCCAAAGUUGCAGUUGUAAUGUGUUAUGUAGAAGUGUAGCUUAGUUGCCUGAUAAAAAAGAAGUGUCUCUUAUAGCCCGUUUGGCCAAGCUGCAAAAAUCAGCUUAUUUCGAGAAGUGCUUUUUUUCAAAUGUGUUUUUCUCUAAAGUACUUUUGGUGAGAAGCAGUUUGUGUUUGGCUAAUUAGUUUGAAAAGCACUUCUGAGCAGCAAUUAGUGUUUGGUCAAGCUUUAGAAAACUGCUUCUAAGUGUAUUUUUCUCAAAAGUGCUUUUGGAGAUAAGCUACUUUUUUCUGCUUCUCCUCAAAAGCACUUUUUUUCCUUCCAAAAGCUUGGCCAAACACCUCAAUUUUUGGCCAAAAAUAAACUUGGCCAAACAGUCUAUUAGUUAUAUUUCAAGAUCCAUCAUGCUGAUGUUAUUAGACCUGAAAAGAAAGAAUGGAGAAAAAGUAUUUUAUAUUCGCCUUGCUCUCUUUGAACUUUAUUGUAUAAUUGUAUGUUGUAGCUUGCAAGUUUCGGUAACAAAGGGGUUCUACAAUUCAUGUUGACAGGUUGUGAGAGACAAGCGGACUGGUAAGACCAAGGGAUAUGGAUUUGUGAGUUUUUCCAACCCGUUAGACGGCUGCGGCACUUGAAGAAAUGAAUGGUAAGUUUUCUGUUAUUCAAGUAUAAUGAAUGUUGUGUCUCUUAUUGUGCUUAAGGUACUGCAGCAUAAUCGAUGUAGUGGGUCUGUCACAGUUACAUGAUCAGCUUUUACCUUCUUGAAGACCCAUCACUCAUAAGUGAUAGGCGUUGUCAAGGGCGGAUCUAUGUAGUGUAGAGGGGUUGUCACGCCACCCGGACGCUCAGGUAACAUUAAAUGUAUAUACUGAUAUUUCACAUAAUAAAAUGGAUAUUAAUAAAGGGCGCCACCCAUAAAAACAAACUGACGGUUGGUGCCAAUGGUAAAAGCUACAGUUUUUCAGGCCUUUAGCCCGGGUAGCCCCCAGGAUCGAAACUUCUUAUGUACGUUAUGUAUUUGCUUCCUUUUUCAUUUUCUAGAUCUCCAAAGUUUUGUUUGAAUAUAACUUUAAUUACUUUCCUUUGUUAUUCGUUAUUUUUUUCUUGAUAUCAAAUUGGACCAAAUAUUUUUAUUUGGUGAUUGCGUAUUUAUUUAUAUACCAAAAUUUUAUUAGCCGUAUUGUAUUAAUUCUAAAUAGAUCGAACCGAACUAAGAUAUUCAAAUAUAGUGAAUCGACCAAACAUCACUCUUUUACAAUAUCCUUGACUGGUGGUAGCUUGGCAUUAUGAGUGGCAUCCGCAGCCAUAAAAUCCUGGAUCCGCCUUUGGGCGUUGUAGCUUUCAGUUGGAUCUAACAGUUCCCUUGAUAUUCCAUCUGGUUGAUGCCACUUUGAUGUCUUUAUAUCAAUUGAUUCGGGUUGAUAUAAAGAGUGCCUGCUAUUAGGCCACUUGGUUUUGUAUUUGAACGCGUAAUCCCUGUUCCCUCCCCCUCCCCCCUCCACAAAAAAGAAGGAAUAGUGAAGGAACUAAGUAACAGAACUCUAUACUGAAAACAACAUUUACGACUGCUUCUAAAGUCAGUUUAAGUACAAUAAAAAUCAGUGAGAAAAGAACAACAUCAACCAAACUUGUAUGCAUGAAUUUCAUAAACCUGGUUUCUUGCGGAGUUCACAAAGUUUGGGUUGGAAGUAGGUUUAGUUAUUGAAUUGGUGUAAUAUUAUACCCAGAUGCCUAAUGAUGUGGUAAUUCAUGCUCUUUUCAGGGAAGGCUGUGGAAACCGUCCGAUUAUACUUCGUAAGAGCAAGUAGCAAACCAUGGAUUGGUGGAAGGGAAGAAACUAGUUGUUGUUUUGGAAACUUGGGUUUUACAAGAUAUCUGAAGUUACAUACUUUCAUUAAUAUAUCGGUAAAUAUCAAACUUAGUGUGGGUUUACUGAGGAUGAUUAAAGUUUUAAUCUUAGUUGGUUGUCCCUUUGCUUCCGUAUUGUUAUGUUAUUUGCUAAAUUUACAUGAACUUUGAAAUGUUGCGGCCAUUUUGAGACAUUUGUAUCUAUAUGAUUGUAGGUAUGAUCGAUAAGUGGAAGUCAUAAAAAAGAAAUCUUUCUCCUCGCACCUCAGAUCAAGAGGAAGGGUUGCUUUCUCUCGCCCUACUUCUAAAGAUAGAUAGAAAAGGUUGGAGAGAAUGACUUUCUGAAAUUCUCUCCUUUCUAAAGAAGCCUAUCGCCACGCCGACCAUCAAAUACGAGAUUGGGCCCCUUCUCAAAGAUUUGAUGGAAUGGCCUCAAACCGAACCGAAAAACCGCACCAAACCGAAAAAUCAAACCAAACCGAUUAAAAAAUCCGAUUAGGUUUGGUUUGACUUGGUUUGGUAUUGAGUAAAAAAAAUCCGAACCAAACCGACAUAUAAAUAUAUAAAUUUUAUUUAUAUUUUUAAGACUUUAUAGUGAAUUUUCUUUAGAAAAUGUAGAAAUAUUUGGGAUCCUCU
rnacentral:lncRNA from 1 species